UGGCCUGAUAGUGUGACACACAGCCCGU
rnacentral:piRNA from 1 species